CUGUACACAUUAGAGACCUUCUUACUUUCAGAUACCUAUGUAAGUAAUAACGGCAUCAAGAACUCUUAUAAUGACUGUUUUUUGACAGACAUAUAGGGAAGAAACCAACUUGUCCCUCAUAGUAAGUGUGAGAUUUUCUGUAUUCAUUUUCAGAGAGGUAUAUCAGAGUGUUGAGGGAUUGUUGUAUCCACGGACUUGUGAUGUGUUCCCCACCAUAGUAGUAAUAAUGGGAUUUUUGCAAGUGUCCAGAGGACAAAGAGGUAUAGAUGAUGGAAUACAGAACAAAUAACCAGGUAGAAUUGAUGGAUCCUGCAAUUAAGGAAGCCACCAGCUUUAUUUACAUGUAUCCCAGAGGCAAAAGAUGUGUAGGCAGAGAUAUCUGUAACAAUGUGUUUUUCAGGUUUCAAUCAAGAUAGCCUGGUGAACUUCACCAAGGUUGUUUACAGAGAUGUUGCUGGUGUCUGGUCACCAUACACGCCUUAAGCACACUACAGACCAGAUCUUUGGUUAUCUAGGUUCCAGGGUAGAGAUCAUGGGGCAUGUGAAAGUAUUCAUUAAUGGAGUUUUCCAGGUAUCCAGGUUUCCCAUUAAGGUCUUGCCUUAUGUACAGGUUCCUGUCAAGACCUCACAUUGACCCUAACAAGGAUCAUUAGUGGGACCAUUGCUGAUGUCCAGGGAAGUGAUGAAAGUGGGCCUAAACCACAGCAUAGACCAGCUGACCUUUAGAAAGGUGAGUGAGGAUGUGGGUGAGCACAGGACAGACCACCUGACCUCAGAAUAUCGAGAUUCAUAUCAAGACCCCCUGGUGAGCUUAUCAGUGAUAAGUUCACAGGGGAUAUUGCUGUUAUCAAGGUGAGUGAUGAUGUGAGCCUAAACCUCAGCAUAGAUGAUCUGAUCUUCACAUGUGUAGGUAAGAAGUAAUGUUGGUACCUCUAAUACUUCUUGUUAACAUAAUUCUUACAAGUAUUCAAUUAAUAAAGGAUAGG